rnacentral:rRNA from 1 species
CCUACGGGCUGCACCAGUGGGGAAUAUUGGACAAUGGGCGAAAGCCUGAUCCAGCAAUGCCGCGUGUGUGAAGAAGGUCUUCGGAUUGUAAAGCACUUUCGACGGAGACGAUGAUGACGGUACCCGUAGAAGAAGCCCCGGCUAACUUCGUGCCAGCAGCCGCGGUAAUACGAAGGGGGCUAGCGUUGCUCGGAAUGACUGGGCGUAAAGGGCGCGUUGGCGGUUUAUGCAGUCAGAUGUGAAAUCCCCGGGCUUAACCUGGGAACUGCAUUUGAGACGCAUAGACUAGAGGUCGAGAGAGGGUUGUGGAAUUCCCAGUGUAGAGGUGAAAUUCGUAGAUAUUGGGAAGAACACCGGUGGCGAAGGCGGCUUACUGGUCUGCAACUGACGCUGAGGCGCGAAAGCGUGGGGAGCAAACAGGAUUAGAUACCCCGGUAGUC